rnacentral:misc_RNA from 1 species
CCUAAGAGAUACGUGUUAUGUGCAGUGCUCACACAGAUUGUCUGAUGAAGAACGAGCAAAAGCGCGUCUGCGAAGCUGACAAAAGUCCCCUUCGUCUAGAGGCCUAGGACACCGCCCUUUCACGGCGGUAACAGGGGUUCGAAUCCCCUAGGGGACGCCAAUGCGCGGUAUGAGUGAAAGGCGUACCACUUAUCUGACGAGAGUCAGAGAAUAACUAAGCUAAUUCCAAUGAGUUAUCUUACUUAUUAUGCUCUUUAACAAUCUGGAACAAGCUGAAAAAUUGAAAACAAAUCAAUAUAUCACCGAGGUAUAUUGGCGAGUCUCUCAAAAUCUCAAACCUUAAAGUUUGUCACGCAAAGUUUAUCUUUGAAAAAGACACUUUCGGGUUGUGA